rnacentral:rRNA from 1 species
CCUACGGGUGGCAGCAGUGAGGAAUAUUGGUCAAUGGGCGCGAGCCUGAACCAGCCAAGUAGCGUGAAGGAUGACUGCCCUACGGGUUGUAAACUUCUUUUAUAGAGGAAUAAAGUGAGGCACGUGUGCCUUUUUGUAUGUACUUUAUGAAUAAGGAUCGGCUAACUCCGUUCCAGCAGCCGAGGUAAUCCUGAGGAUCCGAUCGUUAUCCGGAUUUAUUGGGUUUAAAGGGAGCGUAGAUGGGUUGUUAAGUCAGUUGUGAAAGUUUGCGGCUCAACCGUAAAAUUGCAAUUGAUACUGGCAGCCUUGAGUACAGUUGAGGUAGGCGGAAUUCGUGGUGUAGCGGUGAAAUGCUUAGAUAUCACGAAGAACUCCGAUUGCGAAGGCAGCUUACUAAACUGCCACUGACAUUGAUGCUCGAAAGUGUGGGUAUCAAACAGGAUUAGAUACCCGAGUAGUC